rnacentral:lncRNA from 13 species
AUGUGGGAAAAUGGCAAGAAAGAACCUGCUGCCCCUUCCCAGGGACGUGCCAGUGCCCAGUUAUGUGGGGACAAGGGACAAAGACCCUCAGAGAACCUCCCUCCUCUCUCUCCUUGCUUCUGUCUCCCUCUAGUGUCCCUUCAGUCAGAGCGAAGGAUAGGAAGGUGGGUUCCAGAGGAGACAAGGCAUCCCCCAGCCUGGAAAGUACUUCAGAGCACACAUGAGUGCAGUCCUAACACGGGAAAUGAACUGAAGGAUGCCACCCAGGGAGAGCAUCGUCUGAGAUCCCAUCAUGCAGGCCUUUCCACAAGCGCCUGGCAGCAUGACAAGGUGAAGGCAGAGUAUGUGUGUCUCAACCACCCACUCACCCUUGUGAGCAGAGAGCGCGCUUUGGCUGUGAAGGAGAAACACCAGCUCCAAGCCAAGCUGGAGAACCUGGAACAGGUCCUGAAGGUAGGCUGGCUUUCUGCAUUUGGGACUCACUGUUCGUGAGGUCGGAGUGAGGAAGGAGGGCUGCAGGGCCCCACAGCAGAAGGUGCUCAAAGCUCCCUUGGAAGCCGUCGUCAACAUUCAGGGCUGUUGGGGUGGCUCUUACCCUUUCUGUCGCAUAGAAAUCAAUAAAUAACAAAAUUCGAGUGUUUCUGGAAGCA